CAGCCGCCACGGGAAUACGAAGGGGGCUAGCGUUGUUCGGAUUUACUGGGCGUAAAGGGUGCGUAGGCGGACUGAUAAGUCAGGGGUGAAAUCCCAGGGCUCAACCUUGGAACUGCCUUUGAUACUGUUAGUCUUGAGUUCGAGAGAGGUGAGUGGAACUGCGAGUGUAGAGGUGAAAUUCGUAGAUAUUCGCAAGAACACCAGUGGCGAAGGCGGCUCACUGGCUCGAAACUGACGCUGAGGCACGAAAGCGUGGGGAGCAAACAGGAUUAGAUACCCCCGUAGUCCCUGUCUCUUAUAC
rnacentral:rRNA from 1 species